AGGACGAACGCUGGCGGCGUGCCUAACACAUGCAAGUCGAACGGGACCAGGGGCAACUCUGGUUCAGUGGCGGACGGGUGCGUAACACGUGAGGAACAUGACCUUCGGCGGGGGAUAGCCGGCCCAACGGCCGGGUAAUACCGCGUACGACCACUCGGGGACAUCCCCAGGUGGUGAAAGCAGCAAUGCGCCGAUGGAGUGCCUCGCGGCCUAUCAGCUAGUUGGUGAGGUAACGGCUCACCAAGGCGACGACGGGUAGC
rnacentral:rRNA from 1 species